rnacentral:rRNA from 1 species
GAUGAACGCUGGCGGCGUGCCUAAUACAUGCAAGUCGAACGCUUUGUGGUUCAACUGAUUUGAAGAGCUUGCUCAGAUAUGACGAUGGACAUUGCAAAGAGUGGCGAACGGGUGAGUAACACGUGGGAAACCUACCUCUUAGCAGGGGAUAACAUUUGGAAACAGAUGCUAAUACCGUAUAACAAUGACAACCGCAUGGUUGUUAUUUAAAAGAUGGUUCUGCUAUCACUAAGAGAUGGUCCCGCGGUGCAUUAGCUAGUUGGUAAGGUAAUGGCUUACCAAGGCGAUGAUGCAUAGCCGAGUUGAGAGACUGAUCGGCCACAAUGGGACUGAGACACGGCCCAUACUCCUACGGGAGGCAGCAGUAGGGAAUCUUCCACAAUGGGCGAAAGCCUGAUGGAGCAACGUCGCGUGUGUGAUGAAGGGUUUCGGCUCGUAAAACACUGUUGUAAGAGAAGAAUGACAUUGAGAGUAACUGUUCAAUGUGUGACGGUAUCUUACCAGAAAGGAACGGCUAAAUACGUGCCAGCAGCCGCGGUAAUACGUAUGUUCCAAGCGUUAUCCGGAUUUAUUGGGCGUAAAGCGAGCGCAGACGGUUAUUUAAGUCUGAAGUGAAAGCCCUCAGCUCAACUGAGGAAUUGCUUUGGAAACUGGAUGACUUGAGUGCAGUAGAGGAAAGUGGAACUCCAUGUGUAGCGGUGAAAUGCGUAGAUAUAUGGAAGAACACCAGUGGCGAAGGCGGCUUUCUGGACUGUAACUGACGUUGAGGCUCGAAAGUGUGGGUAGCAAACAGGAUUAGAUACCCUGGUAGUCCACACCGUAAACGAUGAGUGCUAGGUGUUUGAGGGUUUCCGCCCUUAAGUGCCGCAGCUAACGCAUUAAGCACUCCGCCUGGGGAGUACGACCGCAAGGUUGAAACUCAAAGGAAUUGACGGGGACCCGCACAAGCGGUGGAGCAUGUGGUUUAAUUCGAAGCAACGCGAAGAACCUUACCAGGUCUUGACAUCCCUUGACAACUCCAGAGAUGGAGCGUUCCCUUCGGGGACAAGGUGACAGGUGGUGCAUGGUUGUCGUCAGCUCGUGUCGUGAGAUGUUGGGUUAAGUCCCGCAACGAGCGCAACCCUUAUUACUAGUUGCCAGCAUCCAGUUGGGCACUCUAGUGAGACUGCCGGUGACAAACCGGAGGAAGGUGGGGAUGACGUCAAAUCAUCAUGCCCCUUAUGACCUGGGCUACACACGGGCUACAAUGGCGUAUACAACGAGUUGCCAACCCGCGAGGGUGAGCUAAUCUCUUAAAGUACGUCUCAGUUCGGAUUGUAGGCUGCAACUCGCCUACAUGAAGUCGGAAUCGCUAGUAAUCGCGGAUCAGCACGCCGCGGUGAAUACGUUCCCGGGUCUUGUACACACCGCCCGUCACACCAUGAGAGUUUGUAACACCCAAAGCCGGUGGGGUAACCUUCGGGAGCCAGCCGUCUAAGGUGGGACAGAUGAUUAGGGUG